rnacentral:lncRNA from 1 species
ACAAUGUUGAUUUUUAUAGAUAAAUGCUUUACAUCCAUAUUUAAAGUUCUUCAGAAAAAAAAUUAUAAAAGGCAUGCCGGAAAGCGAGGAUGUUUUUGUAAUUUCAGUACAGUAAAAUAAUGCCCUUGUAUGAGAGAAGUUGCAUCAUACAAUAUAGAAUAGAAAGAUAAGAUGGCUUUGGUUUCUUUUGAAAGGGCAGCAUUGACAAAACUGAUCAUAAUAAUAAAAUAUGCAGAGCGAGCC